GUAUUUAUCAAAUUAUUUUUUUUUCAGUUUGUUUGAAUUGAUUUAAAACAAGACAUUGCAAAUACAUGUACAUUUACACUUUGCAGAACUGAAGAAUUCCUCUUUGUUGGGCAGACAGAGUCUCAGAAAAGGCUACUUAAAAUGUAUGGCUAGGAAAUAUGCCUUUUAGAUGCCACAUACAGAACUACCAAGUACAAUUUGCCUGCCUUUUUUGUAUGUGUGAACACAAACGUUGGCUAUUCCACCGUUGGAUGCUUCAUUACUGCAGAUGAAACAAAAGCUUCCAUCAAAAGAGGUCUGCAGUAUUUGAAGCAGUGGAAUGCAAACUGGGAUCCCAAAUUCUUCAUGACUGACUUUGAUACGUCAGAAAUAGGUGCUUUUGAGGAAACUUUUCCAGGCUAUGUUUGGUUGUCAUGUCUACUUGUGUGAUUUUCAUAGAGAGCAGGCAUGGGACAGGUGGUUAAAAUUACAAACAAAUGGAUGUGCUGAGUAUAAAGAUCAUAUCAUUUCUAUGUAAUUUUGAUUUUAAUCCUUUUCCCUUCUUUUUAGACAUGUAUAACUUUAUGGGAAUUUUACUGGUCACCUGUUGUUCAAUAUGUGUUUGAUUUUAUUGCUGAGAACUUUAUUCGAUAAAACCAGAAGGGACAAUUGUUAUCUUAUAAAUGCUAAGUAUUUUG